rnacentral:miRNA from 1 species
UACUCCAGAAUGUGGCAAUCAU